CCUACGGGUGGCAGCAGUGAGGAAUAUUGGUCAAUGGGCUUACGCCUGAACCAGCCAAGUCGCGUGAGGGAAGACUGCCCUAUGGGUUGUAAACCUCUUUUGUCAGGGAGCAACGCCGGCUACGUGUAGCCGGACUGAGAGUACCUGAAGAAAAAGCAUCGGCUAACUCCGUGCCAGCAGCCGCGGUAAUACGGAGGAUGCGAGCGUUAUCCGGAUUUACUGGGUGUAAAGGGAGCGCAGACGGCAGUGCAAGUCUGGAGUGAAAGCCCGGGGCCCAACCCCGGAACUGCUCUGGAAACUGUGCGGCUAGAGUACUGGAGGGGCAGGCGGAAUUCCUAGUGUAGCGGUGAAAUGCGUAGAUAUUAGGAGGAACACCAGUGGCGAAGGCGGCCUGCUGGACAGUAACUGACGUUGAGGCUCGAAAGCGUGGGGAGCAAACAGGAUUAGAUACCCUUGUAGUC
rnacentral:rRNA from 1 species